rnacentral:pre_miRNA from 1 species
AUACGGGGCCGUUAUAUUCAUGUGUUUGUUUAUCAACAUGGUAUAACUUCCCCGUAUUC